rnacentral:misc_RNA from 1 species
CAAACAGCUGUUCGAAAACCGGCUGUGGUUGUGCUGUCAAAAAAAAUCAAAAUUUGUUUGUUUCUUCAGCAUAGUUGUUUUUAAAAUGAAUAAAUUGAAACAGGCACUGCUACUUGCCUGCUCUAUUUGUUGUUUAUUAACACAAAUCACUAGCCAGGAGACCAACAACCAGCUACCCGAGAAGUAUGUAGAAUCUGUGCAACGUUCAACGCACACCAACAACUGGGCUGUGCUUGUGGAUGCCUCGCGGUUUUGGUUCAACUAUCGUCAUGUGGCCAAUGUGUUGAGCAUCUAUCGUUCAGUGAAGCGGCUAGGCAUACCUGAUUCACAGAUUAUACUCAUGCUGGCUGAUGAUAUGGCUUGUAAUCCGCGAAAUCCUCGCCCCGGACAGGUCUAUAAUAAUGCCAAGCAGCAUAUUAAUGUUUAUGGUGAUGAUGUGGAAGUAGAUUAUCGCGGCUAUGAAGUGACUGUGGAAAAUUUCGUGCGUCUGCUGACAGGUCGGACACAAAAUGGUACAGCACGUUCGAAAAAAUUGCUAACCGAUGCUGGCAGUAAUGUGCUCAUUUAUCUGACUGGUCAUGGGGGCGAUGGUUUCCUUAAAUUUCAAGAUUCCGAAGAGAUUACAAGUCAAGAGUUGGCUGAUGCUGUCGAGCAGAUGUGGGAGAAGAAGCGUUACAAUGAGCUAUUUUUCAUGGUAGAUACCUGCCAGGCGGCUUCUUUGUAUGAAAAGUUUACCUCACCUAAUGUGCUGGCAGUGGCAAGCAGUUUGGUGGGCGAAGAUUCGUUGUCGCACCAUGUUGACCAGUCGAUUGGCGUAUAUAUGAUUGAUCGUUAUACGUACUAUGCUCUAGAGUUUUUAGAAAGAGUUCAACCUAACAGCAAAAAGACAAUGGGCGAAUUUCUACAAGUUUGUCCCAAACGCGUCUGCAUUUCCACCGUUGGCGUGCGUAAAGAUCUCUAUAGGCGUGAUCCAAAUAAAGUGCCGAUAACAGAUUUCUUUGGUUCCAUACGUCCCACACAAAUCUCCACAGGGCGUGUUAAUAUUACGCUAGCCGAAGAAGAAGAUUUUAUUAACGCCGCCAUUGCCGCUGAAGAAGAGGCAGCUCAACGUAGCACCUUCAAAGUGGAAUUCCCGUCCCAAUUUCCUACAGAAUUAUUUAAAUAGAAUACAAAACAUCUAUUAGACUGAAGAGUAUUACAUAAAUAUCAGAAACAUAUUUUAUGCGCUGGUCAAAGCUUUAUAGAUGAAUGCGGGAGUAUUUCUGAUAUGAAAAAUAGAUUUCAAAUAUGUUUCAAGAAUUCCAUUAAAUCUAAAUUAUCGUGUAAAUCUACGGAAAAUAGUUCAACAGUUGCAGUUUUCAAAAAGCAGCCACAUAGUUUUGCAAACCUCAAUGGUGUAAAAGA